CGAAGUUUCCCUCAGGAUAGCUGGCACUAUAGCCGUUGAAUUCUUAAUAAAUCUUAUCUGGUAAAGCGAAUGAUUAGAGGCAUUAGGUUCGAAACGUUCUUAACCUAUUCUCAAACUAUAAAUGGGUACGAAAAAUGAGUUGCUUGAUUGAACUCAUUGUUUGACUAGUACUUCAUCAUGUCAUGUGAUGUUGUGAAAGAUUUGCUUGUGCUUAGUGGGCCAAGUUUUGGUAAGCAGAACUGGUGCUGUGGGAUGAACCAAUCGUAAUGUUAAGGCGCCCAAAUAAUGACUCACCUUAGACACCAUGAAAGAUGUUGAUUGCUGAAGACAGCAGGACGGUGGACAUGGAAGUUGUCAUCCGCUAAGAAGUGUGUAACAACUUACCUGCCGAAGCAAUUAACUCUUAAAAUGGAUGGCGCUCAAGUCAUUUGCCGAUACAUUACUGCUAAUACAUAAUUCAAUAUGUGCCAAAUGUACACACAGCCAAGUGCACAAUAUUUUGAAGUAUUAGUAAGUAGGAGGGUCUAGUGGUGUGCUUUGAAGUGUUAACCGUGAGGUAGCAUGGAGCCGCCAUUGGCACAGAUCUUGGUGGUAGUAGCAAAUAUUCUAAUGAGAUCUUGGAUGACUGAAGUGGAGAAGGGUUUCUUGUCAACAGCAGUUGUACAAGAGUUAGUCAGUCCUAAGCUCUGAGGGAAACCUGAACAUAUGAGUAGAUAAUAAUAAUAAUAAUAAUAUGAUUAUCCAUCAAUUUGUAUCAUCCUCAUUCAAAGAGCGAAAGGGAAUCAGGUUACAAUUCCUGAACCUAUUGAGUAUACGUUUGCAUUAUGUGACCGUCUCUCCUCAUAUCAUGUGUGUGUGAGACUGAUAUCAUAAUGUAUCUUGGCAACAAGAAGGCUAAUAUAGAGAUGCUAUCGGGAGGUAAUAAAAGAGUUUUCUUUUCUGUUUUACAAUUAUCACCCCCCACAUACCAUGGAAGUCUUUCAUAGAGAGAUAUGGUAUAAUAGAUUGGUAGAGCAUGGCAUUCAGUUGCUGUGUUAUUACUCUCUCCUUAGACCUUGAAAUCUAUAUAAGGGUACGCAAACU
rnacentral:rRNA from 1 species